CCGGGGCCGGGUUCAGCUGCUGGCGGCUGUGGGGAACGAACGGGGUGGCAGUGGCCUCGCGCCCCUCUGGCUGCUUUUUUCACGUAGAACCGUGGAAUCAUCAAGGUGGGAAGAGACCGUCAGCAUCAUCCAGCCCAGCCGUCCAGCCGGCACUACCGCUGUAACCACUGAAACACAUCACCCAGCGCCAGAUCCAGACGCCUCUUAACAUCUCCAGAGAUGGUGACUCCAUCACCUUCCUGGGCAACUUAUGCCGGCACGGCACAAGAGACCGGCCCCCACCUCACCACAACCUCCUGUCAGGGAGCUGUACAGAGUGAUGAGGUCCCCUCUGAGGCGCCCCCUGAGAUUUUCUUGUUUUAGUAGGGCCUUGGACUCAUUCGUUUGCUUUAUUUGGUUGACAGCUGUCAUCUUCAUGGAGGAAAAAGUACGAUUUUCUGCUCAUUUUCCUACUUUUUUCGCCCCACUGUAAUAAAGCGCGCUCCACUAACA